CCAUCUUCUUAUUCUCGUUAUGCGAAGAUUCAAAUACAAUGUUAGCUUAAAUUCUUCUAAAGAAGUUUAAGUCUUCGAUGGUUUAUAUAGAACUUCAAGCUUUGGUGUAUGAGACCUUAUCCAUGAGAAAAGGACCGAGGACUCCUAGGCCUAUGGUGCCUAUGCCUUGGCCGCCGGCCCCAAAUUAUUUAUAUAUACAUGAGAAAAGAGCAAGUAUCAACUUCAAUUAACGGGGAAAUUGAAAGGUAGAUUG